rnacentral:RNase_P_RNA from 1 species
GCGAUGAAUCAGGCUGCCGCGGCGCAGGGACGCUUUACGCGUUUAUAUGCCGAGGAAAGUCCGGACUCCGCAGUGCAUGAUGCCGGGUAACGCCCGGGCGGCGGGUCGUAAUCGGAGGAUUUUCCGAAGCUAUUCGGCCCGCCGACAGACAGCGCAACAGAAAAUAUACCGUCAGGCCGCCCGGAAAGGGCCCGGCCCUUGUUUCCGGCGGAAACGCCGGUUCGCCGGACGGCCUGAUAAGGGUGAAAUGGCGGGGUAAGAGCCCGCCGCGGGGGUGGCGACAUCUCCGGCUCCCGCGGCUCCGCCGGAGCCGCGGAGGUGCUUUUCGGUUUAAUCCGAAGAGCAUCCGGCAAGCCUCAUCAGGAGCAAAGUCAAAACGUGUACCGGAAAGCGCGGCUUUCCCGCCAGGUGCCCCCUGGUUAAGCACAGGUAGACUGCACAGACACAGCCGGCAACGGCUGCGCCAGUCAGAUGGCAGCGGAACCGUAAAACGGUUUAACAGAAUCCGGCUUAUGAUUCAUCGCUUUU